rnacentral:rRNA from 1 species
GGGUUGUGAGGUUAAGCGACUAAGCGUACACGGUGGAUGCCCUGGCAGUCAGAGGCGAUGAAGGACGUGCUAAUCUGCGAUAAGCGUCGGUAAGGUGAUAUGAACCGUUAUAACCGGCGAUUUCCGAAUGGGGAAACCCAGUGUGUUUCGACACACUAUCAUUAACUGAAUCCAUAGGUUAAUGAGGCGAACCGGGGGAACUGAAACAUCUAAGUACCCCGAGGAAAAGAAAUCAACCGAGAUUCCCCCAGUAGCGGCGAGCGAACGGGGAGCAGCCCAGAGCCUGAAUCAGUGUGUGUGUUAGUGGAAGCGUCUGGAAAGGCGCGCGAUACAGGGUGACAGCCCCGUACACAAAAAUACACAUACUGUGAGCUCGAUGAGUAGGGCGGGACACGUGGUAUCCUGUCUGAAUAUGGGGGGACCAUCCUCCAAGGCUAAAUACUCCUGACUGACCGAUAGUGAACCAGUACCGUGAGGGAAAGGCGAAAAGAACCCCGGCGAGGGGAGUGAAAAAGAACCUGAAACCGUGUACGUACAAGCAGUGGGAGCACGCUUAGGCGUGUGACUGCGUACCUUUUGUAUAAUGGGUCAGCGACUUAUAUUCUGUAGCAAGGUUAACCGAAUAGGGGAGCCGAAGGGAAACCGAGUCUUAACUGGGCGUUAAGUUGCAGGGUAUAGACCCGAAACCCGGUGAUCUAGCCAUGGGCAGGUUGAAGGUUGGGUAACACUAACUGGAGGACCGAACCGACUAAUGUUGAAAAAUUAGCGGAUGACUUGUGGCUGGGGGUGAAAGGCCAAUCAAACCGGGAGAUAGCUGGUUCUCCCCGAAAGCUAUUUAGGUAGCGCCUCGUGAAUUCAUCUCCGGGGGUAGAGCACUGUUUCGGCAAGGGGGUCAUCCCGACUUACCAACCCGAUGCAAACUGCGAAUACCGGAGAAUGUUAUCACGGGAGACACACGGCGGGUGCUAACGUCCGUCGUGAAGAGGGAAACAACCCAGACCGCCAGCUAAGGUCCCAAAGUCAUGGUUAAGUGGGAAACGAUGUGGGAAGGCCCAGACAGCCAGGAUGUUGGCUUAGAAGCAGCCAUCAUUUAAAGAAAGCGUAAUAGCUCACUGGUCGAGUCGGCCUGCGCGGAAGAUGUAACGGGGCUAAACCAUGCACCGAAGCUGCGGCAGCGACGCUUAUGCGUUGUUGGGUAGGGGAGCGUUCUGUAAGCCUGCGAAGGUGUGCUGUGAGGCAUGCUGGAGGUAUCAGAAGUGCGAAUGCUGACAUAAGUAACGAUAAAGCGGGUGAAAAGCCCGCUCGCCGGAAGACCAAGGGUUCCUGUCCAACGUUAAUCGGGGCAGGGUGAGUCGACCCCUAAGGCGAGGCCGAAAGGCGUAGUCGAUGGGAAACAGGUUAAUAUUCCUGUACUUGGUGUUACUGCGAAGGGGGGACGGAGAAGGCUAUGUUGGCCGGGCGACGGUUGUCCCGGUUUAAGCGUGUAGGCUGGUUUUCCAGGCAAAUCCGGAAAAUCAAGGCUGAGGCGUGAUGACGAGGCACUACGGUGCUGAAGCAACAAAUGCCCUGCUUCCAGGAAAAGCCUCUAAGCAUCAGGUAACAUCAAAUCGUACCCCAAACCGACACAGGUGGUCAGGUAGAGAAUACCAAGGCGCUUGAGAGAACUCGGGUGAAGGAACUAGGCAAAAUGGUGCCGUAACUUCGGGAGAAGGCACGCUGAUAUGUAGGUGAAGUCCCUCGCGGAUGGAGCUGAAAUCAGUCGAAGAUACCAGCUGGCUGCAACUGUUUAUUAAAAACACAGCACUGUGCAAACACGAAAGUGGACGUAUACGGUGUGACGCCUGCCCGGUGCCGGAAGGUUAAUUGAUGGGGUUAGCGCAAGCGAAGCUCUUGAUCGAAGCCCCGGUAAACGGCGGCCGUAACUAUAACGGUCCUAAGGUAGCGAAAUUCCUUGUCGGGUAAGUUCCGACCUGCACGAAUGGCGUAAUGAUGGCCAGGCUGUCUCCACCCGAGACUCAGUGAAAUUGAACUCGCUGUGAAGAUGCAGUGUACCCGCGGCAAGACGGAAAGACCCCGUGAACCUUUACUAUAGCUUGACACUGAACAUUGAGCCUUGAUGUGUAGGAUAGGUGGGAGGCUUUGAAGUGUGGACGCCAGUCUGCAUGGAGCCGACCUUGAAAUACCACCCUUUAAUGUUUGAUGUUCUAACGUUGACCCGUAAUCCGGGUUGCGGACAGUGUCUGGUGGGUAGUUUGACUGGGGCGGUCUCCUCCUAAAGAGUAACGGAGGAGCACGAAGGUUGGCUAAUCCUGGUCGGACAUCAGGAGGUUAGUGCAAUGGCAUAAGCCAGCUUGACUGCGAGCGUGACGGCGCGAGCAGGUGCGAAAGCAGGUCAUAGUGAUCCGGUGGUUCUGAAUGGAAGGGCCAUCGCUCAACGGAUAAAAGGUACUCCGGGGAUAACAGGCUGAUACCGCCCAAGAGUUCAUAUCGACGGCGGUGUUUGGCACCUCGAUGUCGGCUCAUCACAUCCUGGGGCUGAAGUAGGUCCCAAGGGUAUGGCUGUUCGCCAUUUAAAGUGGUACGCGAGCUGGGUUUAGAACGUCGUGAGACAGUUCGGUCCCUAUCUGCCGUGGGCGCUGGAGAAUUGAGGGGGGCUGCUCCUAGUACGAGAGGACCGGAGUGGACGCAUCACUGGUGUUCGGGUUGUCAUGCCAAUGGCACUGCCCGGUAGCUAAAUGCGGAAGAGAUAAGUGCUGAAAGCAUCUAAGCACGAAACUUGCCCCGAGAUGAGUUCUCCCUGACUCCUUGAGAGUCCUGAAGGAACGUUGAAGACGACGACGUUGAUAGGCCGGGUGUGUAAGCGCAGCGAUGCGUUGAGCUAACCGGUACUAAUGAACCGUGAGGCUUAACCUUACAACGCCGAAG